UGAUUAUGGGGUGGAUCCUUGGAUA
rnacentral:piRNA from 1 species